UUCUUUGCGUUUGGACCGUGUGUCGGAAAUAACAUUGUGGAUGAUCCGGACAACCACAUUUCUCCCACAUAUGCGCUUGAUUUGGGUGAGCCUGGACCGUUGAGAUGGUUGAAUAUUAGGAAGCUCGCUAGACUCCUGUUUGAUAUCCGAACACGUCCGGACGUACGAAAGAGAAAUGAGCUUUGACCUUUGAGACUACCUUAGUUAUUGUUUGAUGCAUUUAUAUGCACUGUAGCCCGUAGCAACGCACGGGCAUUUUACUAGUACUUGGUGGAUUAGACUUCACACAUAACACAUGUUUUUUUUUCUUUUUUGGAAUUUAUGACGGAUAAUUUAAUUUCAUGUGUGUGUUUGUACGUAUAGUGAUGUUGUAAGGAUUGAUUGAUACUGCCAAUAUCCCCGCGGUGACAGCUCAUUGCCUUGUAGUACAAUACAUAGAGUAAUAAAUGCCUUCCAUACAAAUUAAAGGUACUGAAUAAAUUUCAAAGAAGAAUACAUCAUGAUGAGAUGUCCUUGACUUUAUCCAGUAAGCAACACCUCAUUAACGAGUAUUAUUACUUCCCUCAUUUUAUUAUGGUGAAACGCCAUCUCCGUGCAUAGUUCUAUAUAGAGAGAGAUUUCCUGAGACCUGUUGUGAUAAUAGAAAGAAAAAUAUCCCUCCAGGAGUAGAAAGAUUGUUCUCUCUCUUGCGGAUCAUCUCUGUUGCCAAGAAUAGACGAGACAAUGGCGAUGGGUCACCUCCGUGCCUUCCUAGUUCCCCUCCUUGUGCAGGUCUGCCUGCUCUUGACGAUUGCUGCGUCGGUGAAGGUGCAGGACAGGCCUGUGAACCCGGAGUUGAAGCCCGGCUGCUGUCUCACUCCCGUUUGCUGUUUCAACCACCCCUGCCAGGGUGCCAUUCCCUGACGGCCCACCUCUGUGUUUGAUCUCCUCCCUGUCCCGGCAACCCAUAGUGUAUCAUUGACGUGAGUGUACUGGAUCUGUGUUGGCUGGCAUGAUUCUGCUGCUUCUCAUGUCUCUUGAUAAGUUUCAGAAAUUUGUUAGCUCCUUUCAGUUACGUUGUUGUACUGUCACACCUUGGUAAUAAAGUGGGGGGAGAUUGUUGUUCGUUUUUGAGGAGUUCUAUUUAACAAUUUUAUCCAUGCUCAUUCUCUCCAACUUGAUUUCAGCCCUUUAAAAGAUCUUGUGAAUUUUAGUAGAUAAGCAAUGGUGCUCAGGUUUGUGAGGACUUGUGCGGUGGGAAUGAUCAAUGGGUGGGCAUAAAAGCGGGAUCGGAAAAAACCCCGUGUGGGAUAUGAUAAGUGGUACUUUUACCCCUUAAAGACACUUUCAUAGCUUCAAUAACCCUCAAUUGUUCGAAAUUACCAAGCAUAAAAUUGUGCUCUUUAUGCAAGUUUAGUAAAAUGUUUCUGGAAUUGUUUGUUUGUUUGUAGAUUAUAUAUAGUGAUUCAGAAAUGAGGAUGGCUAAUUGAUUAUAUCCAAAUUGUAGAAACUAGUCGUCUGUCGCACGGGUUACAUAUAAUUUAAUCAUGGAUCUUUUAUGGGAUGAAUUUAGACACGCCAAAUUAUUAAAUCAAAAUUUGCAAAACAUCGUUUGUAGCAUUUGUUCAUUGUUCGUUAGUCUUGCAUGUUAGAGAUGGUUCUUCAUAGGACAAAGACCACAACCGAAAGAGUUAAUUUAUGUUUUUGACAGAAAAAACAGUAAUUAAUGGUCAAAAUUUAUCUACAUGUAGUUUGUAGGUCCCCAACAACUAAGAAUAAAAAAGUAACCUUGCAAGUACAUAUAUCACUACAAUAUGCUUGAUUUUUUUUAAACGACAAAGCUAAAAUCCGGCCGAUUGGAAACUCGCAACAGAUCCGAACGACUCCUUCGUCGUUCGAUCCGGAUCAUGCACGCGCUCAUCUUCCUUCUUUCUAAAAUCACACUUCUUUCUGACUUCAGUUUCAUAUUCUAUCGGUAUUAAUUAACGUUUUCUCUAAAAUCGCACUUGCCACAUUUUUACUGCUCCGAUCGUGCCAUGAUUUUUCUCCCACCCCGAAAUCUCGCAACAAUUAAUGUUGGAUUAAUUAGCCAACUACUCCCUCUCUCUUAGGCUGGCCAUAGUGGGGGUAAGACUAGCCACAAUGGGCAGUAACAUAGAGUAUUAACAUGCUCAUGUUACUACUCUAUGUUACUACCUCUAUAGUGAGGAGUAACAUAUGUGUGGUAACAUGCAAUACUUCAUUUAUUAUGCUAUAGACUCAUUUUGCCUUGAUAUGUGUGAUGUUACUCAUAAUAGUAGUAACUAGCUAUGUUACUAUAUGCCUCUCUUUCUUCAUUUAUUGCUUGCCACAUCAUCUAUUUUAUCUAGAUAUGUGUGAUGUUACUACCUAUGUUACUCCCACUGUGGGUAGUCUAACAUAAGUAGUAUCAUGCACUUGGGACUCGCAAACAUGCUUAUGUGGCAGGCAAUUAAAGAAGAGAGAGAUGGUUAUAGUAACAUAGGUAGAUACCGUAACAUAAUAAAUGUGAUGCUACUAUGUGUCAUGCAUGGCAAUAAAUGAGACCACAUAUAAUACUAAUCUAUGAUAUUAUGCACUAUAGAGGCAGUAAUAUAGACUAGUAACAUAUGCAUAUUACUAGUCUAAGUUACUCCCCACUAUGACCAGCCUUAGUUUACAGGGCGUGUACGUAUCCCUAGGUCGUCAAUUUGAUCAACCUAAUACAAGUCAUAUAUUACAAAAAAUAUAUCAAUAUAAACUUCAGACGUUCUAUUUUCAAACGUAUAAUUUUUGUGUUAUAUAGUUUAUAUUAGGGUAAUAAAAUUGACAACCUAGAUAUACGCACAGGACUUGUAAACUGAAAUGGAUGUAGUAAUAAGCAUGCACACGACACGUUUUUUAUGAGAUUAUUAAAGCAGCGGUCAUGAGCCACUGCAUGGCAGAUUUAGCGGAACCAACAAAGGCUGUGCAUGCUCGUUUUAUGGGAUUAAUGCCUCGUUUAGUGGCUCUUCCUUGAGCUAGGCUUUUAAUACUAAAAUCAGUGCUUGAUUAAAGGAGAAAAAUAUAGGCAAUUCAUGGGAUUUGAUCCUUGGUAGUAUCGACCUAUUCUAUGCCUAGUUCUUGUGUAGAUGUUGAAAGCUGAAUAACACUGUUGCUUAUUGAUGAUUUGGUGCGGCAUACAAGAGUAUAUAAGAGGGUACAAACCGACUUGGGGUAGGGGUACAAAACUGACUUGGACUAGAAGUUGUAUACCAUAAUGACUACUCUAACAUCCCCCCGCAGUAUCAACGGCAGGCUCGACGACGUUGAGACUGAAACAGAUAUCUUGAAACGGCUUAGUAGGCAGUGCCUUGGUGAAAAUGUCAGCAAACUGAGCCGUAGAGGGAACAUGAAGCACCCGAACCCGACCAAGAGCAACCUUUUCACGAACAAAAUGAAUAUCAAUCUCAAUAUGCUUUGUGCGUCGGUGUUGAACUGGAUUGCUGGUCAUGUAGACUGCUGAUAUGUUGUCAUAGUAGACAAUAGUGGCCUGCUCAAUAGGCCUGUGUAGCUCGGAGAGUAACUGCCGAAUCCAGAUUGUAUCUGCAACGGCAUGUGCCACAGCGCGAUACUCAGCCUCGGCCGACGAACGUGAGACUGUAACCUGUCUUUUCGAAGACCAAGAAAUCAAAUUGUUACCAAGAAAAACACAAAAACCGGAAGUGGACCUUCGAGUGUCAGGACAACCAGCCCAGUCUGCAUCAGAGUAUGCGGUAAGCGAGUUUGGAGAAGAAUUAUUGAGGUGGAGACCAUGAUUGAGAGUUCCUUUUAAAUACCGAAGAAUGCGUUUAACAUGAUUAUAGUGAGGAACCCGGGGAUCAUGCAUAUAGAGACAUGCUUGUUGAACAGCAAAAGAGAUUUCAGGACGAGUAAUGGUGAGAUAUUGGAGAGCACCUGUUAGGCUACGAUAGAGAGUAGGAUCGGAAAAGGGUUCACCGGUAGCCGAAAGUUUAAAACUAGUAUCGACAGGAGUGCGAGAUGAUUGACAGUCAAGCAUACCAGCACGACUAAGAAGAUCAAGAAUAUACUGGCGUUGGGAAAGAAAAAGGCUGGAGGAAUCGCGAACAACAGCAAUGCCUAAGAAAUGAUGAAGGAGUCCUAGGUCAGUCAUAGAAAAUUCAGAUCUAAGAAGAGAGACAAUAUGAUCUAAGAACUUUUGAGAGGAGGCGGUAAGAAUGAUAUCAUCUACAUAGAGAAGUAAAUAGGCAGUGUCAGAAGUUUGAUGAUACACAAAAAGAGAGGUGUCGGAGAGAGAUGGAGUGAAGCCUAUUGUUUGAAUGAAGGAGGAGAAGCGUUGAAACCAAGCUCGUGGGGCCUGUUUAAGACCGUAGAGAGAUUUCUGAAGAAGACAUACAUGAGUUGGAAAGGAUGGAUUUUCAAAACCCAGAGGUUGCUGGCAGUAGACAGUUUCUUGAAGGGAACCAUGGAGGAAAGCAUUUUUAACAUCAAGUUGGUGAAUGGGCCAUGAAGAGGAGACAGCAACACUAAGAACGGUGCGAAUGGUGCUAGGUUUAACAACAGGAGAGAAUGUUUCUUCGUAAUCAAUUCCUUGUUGCUGAGAAAAGCCACGACAAACCCACCUGGCUUUAUAUCGUGAGAGGCUCCCAUCGAAGUGGAACUUUUGGCGAAAAAUCCAUUUGCCAGAAACAGUAUUUGUAUUGGGAGGACGAGGAACAAGUUGCCAGGUGUUGUUUUGAAGUAAAGCAUUAUAUUCUUCUUGCAUGCCAGCGGCCCAAUUGGGAUCAAGUAGAGCAGUUUUGUAAUUCUUUGGAAGAGAAGUGAGAGAUACGGAGGUAUGAAGGUUUAGGCGAUCUUGGGGUUGAUGAAAUCCUGAUUUGGCCCUAGUACGCAUGCGAUGAUCAUUAAUCGGGGCUGCUGUAGGAAUAGCACGAGGGGGUAAGGUGGGUACUGGUGAGUCCGGCGCAGCGGAAGAGUCGGACGAAGGAGUAGGGCUGGGUGGUGGAGUGGGAGCAGGGCUGGGUGGUGGAGUGGGAGUAGGGGCCGGGGGUGUUGGGGAGGGAGCAGGGGCCGGGAUGUUGGGGACGUCUCGGGUGGGGUGAGUGUAUGGUUGGGAUUGGCUAUGGUGGGUGUUAAUGGUGGUGAUGAUAAGUUGUGUUCGGCAGGUAGGGGAGUAUAUAGUUGGAAAGGACGGGGAGAGGGGGUGUUUGCGGAGCUAGGGUGUUGGAUGGUGUAGUAGUGUGUUGUGAGAAAGGAAAAAUGUGCUCAGCAAACGUGACAUGACGAGAGACAUGAACGUGUCCGGUGUGAAGGUCGAGACAGCGAUAGCCUUUGUGCUCGUCAGAGAAGCCGAGAAAAGCACGUGGGAUAGAGCGUGGUGACAAUUUAUUUGCAGAAGUGGCGUAGGCAUUGGGAAAACAGAGACAGCCGAAAACACGAACCGCGGAGUAGUCGGGGUGGGAAAGAAAGAGGGAAUAAUAGGGAGGAGUGUUGGGUUUAGUUUUAGAAGGUCGAAUAUUUAGAAGGAAGGUGGCCAUGUGUAGGGCUUCAGCCCAAAACUUGGGAGGCAUAGAUGAUUGAAUGAGGAGAGUGCGAACUAUAUCAUUGAGGGUGCGAAGAGAGCGUUCUGCUUUACCAUUUUGAGGGGAUGUGUAGGGACAUGAGAACCUAAGAAGGAUGCCAUGUUGUAAGAAGAAAGUACGAUUUUUAAUGUUAUCAAACUCGCGACCAUUGUCACAUUGGAUAAAGCGAAUUGGGAGGAAGAAGUGAACAGACACAUAGCGUUGAAAAUUAAGAAAAAGAGAAUGGACCUCGGAUUUGUUGCGUAGAGGAAAAGUCCAGACAAAGUGGGUGAAAUCAUCUAGGAUAAUAAGGUAGUAUUUAAAACCCGAAACACUUGCAAUGGGAGAGGUCCAUAAAUCACAAUGUAUUAAUUCAAAGGGAUAAGUGCUACAAGAACUAGAGGAACUAAAGGGAAGACGCACAUGUUUGCCUAAUUGACAAGACUCGCAAAACACAGAAUUAUGAGAGUCCCUAUUACAUGGUAUGGUAAAUUCACUAAGCAUAGAAGCUAAGACGGCGGGGUUGGGAUGGCCCAAGCGACGAUGCCAGAGAUCGACGGAGGCCAGCAUGGAUGUUGGAGGGGUGGCGGCAGGAACUCCAUUAAGAGAAUAAAGAUCACCGGAGCUAUUGAAGCGAGCGAUCUCGGCCUUGGUCAGGUAAUCCUUCACAGAUAAACCAAAAGGGUCAAAUUCAGCCGAAACUAGAUUGUCGCAAGUAAAUUGGCGAACAGAGAUAAGAUUUUUAAUGAGGGCGGGUGCAACUAGAACAUCGCAAAGUAAAAGAGGUUUGGUGGAAGAGGGAAGUUGAGCCUGACCAACACAAUAUAUAGGAAUAGAUGAUCCAUCUCCAAGGAUAAUGGAAGGGAAAGGAGAUUGAGUGCAAGAAGAUAACCAAUUACUAGAUGCAGACAUAUGACUAGAGGCCCCUGAAUCAAAGAUCCAAUCUGUACCUGAGUUUCCUUGUGCAGCAAAGUUAUUCAUGGCCUGGAGAAAGGCAGCUUGAUCCCAGCUCGGCGUCGCAGGUGAGGGUGGCGUCGGAAGCAGUGCCGGCGGAUACGAUGGUGAAGGCAGUAGGGCCGGCUGGGGAGUGUAGUAGGCAUUGGCCGGCUGUGGUGGGGGUGGCGUCGGGAGCAGAGCCGGCUGAGGUGUGUAGUAGGCGCCGCCGUCGCUGGUGUAAUGACCAUAAGGAGCAUACGUCGGGGCGGCGUGAUAGGCAUUGGCCGGCUGUCGGGGGUUGAGACCCCGGGAGCACCAGUAGGCGGCCGAAGGCCGGGUUGCCAGGCACCUGAGUAUGCCGGCGGAGCACCGAGGGUGGACGGAGCGGACCAGGGCAUGGGCCAUGCUUGAACAAGCCCCGUCCAAGGAUCAUGAGGAGGCCGCCAUGCAACCGCAGAUGGAGCACUGGUGGGUGGUGCAGGACUCGGUGCUGGUGAUGUCGUAGGCGGAACCGAACGAGUCGACGGCGGCCUGUAGAUAGGGUUUUUGCCGCGGUAGUUCGGACUAGGACGCCAGCCUGGGGGCGGUUGAAUAGAUGACGAUGCGGAUGGCCCGGCGGCAGGAGCCGGCCUGGAAGGCGGCGCUGGUGUAGACGACAGAGGAGGACGAGCCGCAGCAUGAAAGACCUUGGGGCGAGAGUCCUUGCGAGCUUGUGUUUCCGCCGCGAGUUGUAGCAAGGAACGAACUUCGGCGAAGGUAGGAGGGGGCCGUAUCAUCGGUAUGAACGAGGCUUGCUUGUCAAAGUCUUCGCUGAGGCCGACGACAACGAUAUUGAUUAGCUGUGAGUCGCUAACUGUAUCGCCGAGUUCGCGGAGCUCAUCACCAAUGGUCUUAACGCGCUGGCAGAACAGGUUCACCGGGGCGUCUCCUUGCACCAUAUUGCGAAGCUCGNNNNNNNNNNNNNNNNNNNNNNNNNNNNNNNNNNNNNNNNNNNNNNNNNNNNNNNNNNNNNNNNNNNNNNNNNNNNNNNNNNNNNNNNNNNNNNNNNNNNNNNNNNNNNNUGUGGAGAGCGUUUUUCCGAGCGUCGGUGUUGCUUUGGAAGAGCUGACGGAGGGAGUGCCAGAUGUUGGCAGCGGUGGCGCCGUCGUGAUAGAGCAUGUUGAAGAUCUCGGUAGUGAUGCGGGUGUAGAACCACAGGACGAUCGCGAGAUCGUCUUUCAACCAUUGCGGAUCGUCAGGGCGGGGAAGACAGUUGGCGGCGACAUGCGAGCGCAGGUUGCAGCGGCCGAGGUGGAGAUCGAAGAGAUGUCUCCAAUGGUAGUAGUUGUGGGCGGCGAGAUCAAGAACUAUGGGGAUGUAGGGGCUGACGUCGGAGAUUGUGUCAGCAAGAGAUAUUGGUGCGGCGAGGAUGGGUGCAGGGUAGUUUUGUGGAGCUAUGGUGAGGGCCGAGAGAGAAGCGGCCGCGGCGUUGGCAGCCUUGGCGAUGAGUGCGGCCCGGCGCUCGAAGUAGCCGGGCGGCGGCGGCGGCGGUGGCGUUGGCGGAGCCAUACCCUAAACCCUGGGACCGGUAUCUGAUACCAUGAAAGCUGAAUAAAGCUGUUGCUUAUUAAUGAUUUGGUGCGGCAUACAAGAGUAUAUAAGAGGGUACAAACCGACUUGGGGUAGGGGUACAAAACUGACUUGGACUAGAAGUCGUAUACCAUAAUGACUACUCUAACAGAUGUAAGGGUAUUUUCAUAGUUGACUUUUCGUUUCUAUGUUACCAUCAUAGAAAAAAACCCAUCUAUGUAGUGCUAAUAGAAUGGAACAUAAUUCACUUCGCAUGACUAUGAUGGUGUCGCCGCAAAACGCCCUGAUGGUAUCGACGGAGAAUGUUAAUAUGAUGGGGUCAAUAUGUAAAAAGCAUGGUAACUUACGCAUCACACAUCUGAUAACUUACGUAUAAGCACUGUGAUAACUUUCACGGGAGUGGGGUUUGUUGAAAACAUAUCCCUGAUAACUUUUGUAUGAAGAGCAUAGUAAUUUACACACCACACACCUGAUAACUUGCAUACAAACACUGUGAUAACUUUGGUGGGGAUGGUUUUUUUAACAUCGGCAUAAUAUUAACUAAGGAACCACAUGGCAAAGAGUUUCCUGGAUACAAUCCGGAACAGAAUGAAAAACACACAAAGCCCUAAGAUUCUUACAAGACUUAGCUAACAUAUGANNNNNNNNNNNNNNNNNNNNNNNNNNNNNNNNNNNNNNNNNNNNNNNNNNNNNNNNNNNNNNNNNNNNNNNNNNNNNNNNNNNNNNNNNNNNNNNNNNNNNNNNNNNNNNNNNNNNNNNNNNNNNNNNNNNNNNNNNNNNNNNNNNNNNNNNNNNNNNNNNNNNNNNNNNNNNNNNNNNNNNNNNNNNNNNNNNNNNNNNNNNNNNNNNNNNNNNNNNNNNNNNNNNNNNNNNNNNNNNNNNNNNNNNNNNNNNNNNNNNNNNNNNNNNNNNNNNNNNNNNNNNNNNNNNNNNNNNNNNNNNNNNNNNNNNNNNNNNNNNNNNNNNNNNNNNNNNNNNNNNNNNNNNNNNNNNNNNNNNAGUUCGGUGUUGAGAUUUCCGAAAUACUCCAAUCCCAGAGGCUCAUUUGUCCGUAACCGGGGACACAGCUAAUCGAUUAGGUUGUUAGUCUGCAGAGCUUUGUGCACUUUACCCACAAGAAUCGUUCCCUCCUUUAAGUCUUCGCACUGCCUGGUGUUUGAAGACGGGAUGAACGAAACAGGGUCUUCCAAAGAGUUCCUCUGGGCCACUGCCGGUGCCCAUCCAAUCCUACCGUUCUUCUACAUCUCGUAGCACCGUCCGGCCAGAGUCAUGCCUAGGGUCAACCCAGCCAGAGCCCAUAAUGGCUUGCGACUGCACAGGUAAGCUUCCGGUCAAUGGGGUAUCCAUCCGUCUCUUCGUGGCUGGGUGAAGCUUUCCGCAAGAUGUCAUGGCGCUUCUCCAUGCAUCCCGGCCAUCCGCUGCUUUCUCCAGGGUGCCCGUCAACCGUCCUCCACCCAGUAGUGAAUUUUGAAGUCCAUCUUGAGCUUGAUGUCAUGGGAUUUUCAUCAUCUUGACACUCGCCUCUCCCUUAUGAAUCACUCAACCAACCCCGUCUACGAGCAUAGCAAAAUAAACUACAUCGUCCCGGGCAUCGGUAACAAGGGAGAAGGGUUCAUCCUACCUCAUGAUACUACUCAAGAACAUAACUUAACAAAAUUCUCCUACUGCAUGCAUGGUGGGGAGGUAUAACUCUAAUGCAAUAAAAUCAUAGGUACUGUAAAAACAUGAUCAAAUGACUUGCCUGGCUGACGGUCUUCGAAAGCUAGCGACUCGUAAUAGCAGGCUUCGCACUCCGGGAAUUCUACCGAGUCAAAUAAUAGCACAAAUAAGAAUAGCACAAUAUAACAUAACAACAAGUUGAAGUAAAACACCUAAGCACUCAAACCAAAACCAAAGAAAAACUCGGAGAAAGCAAAUCAAGGUUUUCAUCAUAACAAGCAACAACUAAUAAAUAGUUUUACACAACUAAAACUUUUCUUAACAGAACCUAAACAUUGGUUUUGCUAACUAACAGAAGGGAAAACAUCAUACAAACUAGUAGAAAAAAGAAUCACAUCAAAAGCUAUUAUAGAACUCCUAUUAUGCCUAAAACAAUCCUAGCAAAGAAAAUAAAAUAAAAAAAUUUAUUCUACCGUAAAUAAAAGUUCCUCCUCUGUAGCUACAGAAACUAAUCUAAAAUAACCUAUAACAUAAUAAAAAUAAAAUUAUUUACUAACUAGAACAGUAGGAAAACAGUAGCUAGCUAAAUAAACAAGAAAAACUUGAUUUCGACAUAAACCUAAUUGUUUAUUAAAUCUAAAAUACCCAAACAAGUUCCUACUGCUAGGCAUGGUCAAAACUAAGCAGUAGCAAAAAGAAACACCUAAAAAUAUUAAUUCUAGCUCAAUUUAUGGCAGAAAUACUAAUCUGACUAAAACUAAUAUAAAANNNNNNNNNNNNNNNNNNNNNNNNNNNNNNNNNNNNNNNNNNNNNNNNNNNNNNNNNNNNNNNNNNNNNNNNNNNNNNNNNNNNNNNNNNNNNNNNNNNNNNNNNNNNNNNNNNNNNNNNNNNNNNNNNNNNNNNNNNNNNNNNNNNNNNNNNNNNNNNNNNNNNNNNNNNNNNNNNNNNNNNNNNNNNNNNNNNNNNNNNNNNNNNNNNNNNNNNNNNNNNNNNNNNNNNNNNNNNNNNNNNNNNNNNNNNNNNNNNNNNNNNNNNNNNNNNNNNNNNNNNNNNNNNNNNNNNNNNNNNNNNNNNNNNNNNNNNNNNNNNNNNNNNNNNNNNNNNNNNNNNNNNNNNNNNNNNNNNNNNNNNNNNNNNNNNNNNNNNNNNNNNNNNNNNNNNNNNNNNNNNNNNNNNNNNNNNNNNNNNNNNNNNNNNNNNNNNNNNNNNNNNNNNNNNNNNNNNNNNNNNNNNNNNNNNNNNNNNNNNNNNNNNNNNNNNNNNNNNNNNNNNNNNNNNNNNNNNNNNNNNNNNNNNNNNNNNNNNNNNNNNNNNNNNNNNNNNNNNNNNNNNNNNNNNNNNNNNNNNNNNNNNNNNNNNNNNNNNNNNNNNNNNNNNNNNNNNNNNNNNNNNNNNNNNNNNNNNNNNNNNNNNNNNNNNNNNNNNNNNNNNNNNNNNNNNNNNNNNNNNNNNNNNAAUUUUUAAGAACUAAAGCAUGGCCGAAUCUAUUUUCUACACAAACUAUAGGAAAUUUGCAAACUAGAGCAAAAAGAAUCAACUAAAAAAAUGAAUAACCUAAAAGUUGUAGAUUUUACAAGAACAGAACUAUUCUGUUUUAAAAACAGAAACUAAAAAAAACUAACGCUCUAACGGGCCGAAACAGUGAGCGCUCUAAAACUAUUCAGCGCCUAAGCGUUUAAUAAACCAAUGCGUCCACGGGCUAACAGAAAUAAACCGAUCGGCCGGUCCAAUUAAACCGCAACUUAAAAUAAACUGAUCUAAACCGAAACUAAAACCGAUCUAUAUGAAAUAAAACAAUACCCCUUCGGGAUCUAAUCUGGGCCCUAGAUUGGAAAUCGGACGGUGGUGGGGAGUCCGGUGGCUUACAGCGGCGGUCGACGGCGAGGUGGGCUCGGGCGUUGGUGGCGGGGGUGCUCCGGUGGUCCGAGGCGGCGGCGGAGUCGUCGGGCAGGUGCGGCAGCUCGAGGCGGAGACUCUGGUGGAGUCGUCGGAGGUCGGGGACGUCGGAGUCGAUCGGGGCGAGCUCGGGUGAGAUCCUGCUCCGGCGGGCGGCGGACGAGCUCGGGACGAUGGCGUUGGGGGCUCCUGGACAGGGAGAUGAUGUCAAGGAGGUGCGGCACGAAGUGGAGGUUCGGGUGAAGAUGCUUGGAGGGGCAGAGGGUGCUCACCGACGGCGUAAGUGGCGGCGAACCGAGGUGGCGGCGACGAGAUGCGAACGGAGAUGGCGACGGCUCUGGUGGGUUUCGGGCGUAGGGUUUAAGGGGUUCGAGAGAGGAGGGGCUUGGCCUUUUAUAGGGCGUAGUCUUGGGCGAGGGGGCGUCUCGGGAUCACGAUCCCAGGAAGAUCGGAACCGCGGCGCGCUCUGGAUGUGCUCUGGUUCGGUUUCAUGAGCGAGGGGUUGGGGAUGAGGGCGGGCCCCGCGGUCAGUGAGACAGAGAGGGGGAGAGGCGCGACGGGCGACCGAGGGCGAGGGGGUUCGGGCAUCGGGCGCUGGGGGCAGGCCGGCUCGGGUGUUGGUGCGCUGCGCCUGGCCCGCUGGUGGGCUGCGCUCGGCACUGGCUGGGCCGGUUGGCCUGGCUGGCGCCUGGGGCUUUCCCUUUUUUUUGAAUUAGAGAGAAGGGAAAAUAUAGAAAAAUAUAUAUUAUUUUUAUAUAGGAUAUAUAUAUAUAUAUCAAAAUUCUCAGGGGAAUUAAUCCUACAACGUGGACAUUUUUCCAGAGGUAAAACUCAAACAAAAAAAAAAACAAUUUCUGGAAAUCCCAAAUAAAAUUCAAAUUUGAAUUCAAACUUUUUGGCAAUACUUUUCUUCUGACAUUUUUUUGGAGUGUCACGUUAGCUCCUCUCAUACUUUUGAUCAAGUAUUUGUCAGGGAUAUUUGAAAUAAAUUUCAAUGCCAAAUCAAGUUCAUAUUCACAACAAAAACUCAACUGCCUCUGAAAUUUUCAAAUGCCACUCAAUUUCAAUCAAAAUGCAUAGAUGCUUAGCUAAUAAUUGUAAAACAUUCCAAAUUGAAAAUUUGGGAUGUUACAAACCUACCCACCUUAAGAUGAAUCUCGCCCUCGAGAUUCGGGUUGGCUAGCAAAUAGGUGCAGGUGGUCUCGGCGGAGGUCUUCUUCUCGCUCCCAGGUGGCUUCCUCCUCGGAAUGAUGACUCCAUAGAACCUUGCAAAACUUGAUGAUCUUGCUGCGGGUGACUCUGUUCGCAGUCUCGAGAAUUCGGACGGGUUUCUCCUCAUAAGUCAGAUCACUGUCGAGCUGUAUGGCCUCUAGGGGCACUGUGUCUCUCAACGGAAUUUCGGCCAUCUCAGCAUGGCAUUUCUUCAGCUGAGAAACAUGGAAGACAUCGUGAACUCCGGACAAUCCUUCCGGCAAUUCCAGCUUGUAAGCAACUUCUCCACGACGUUCGAGGAUUUUGUAGGGGCCAAUGAACCUGGGCGCCAACUUUCCUUUAACACCAAACCUCUUGAUUCCACGAAGUGGGGAUACACGGAGAUAUGCUUGGUCUCCAACUUCAUACGUUAUCUCCUUGCGUUUACUGUCGGCAUAACUCUUCUGUCUCGACUGGGCUAUCUUGAGUCUAUCUCGAAUCAGCUUGACCUUCUCUUCGGAGUCUUUGAUAAGAUCGGGACCAAAAAGUUUUCGAUCUCCAACACCAUCCCACAACAAUGGUGUUCUGCACCUCCUUCCGUAUAGAGCUUCAAAAGGGGCCAUUUUCAGACUGGUCUGAUAACUGUUGUUGUACGAGAACUCUGCAUAUGGCAACUUGUCAUCCCAGCUAGACCCAUAGUCUAGCGCAUAGGCUCUCAACAUGUUCUCCAAAAUCUGGUUGACUCUCUCGGUCUGUCCAUCUGUCUGCGGAUGAAAAGCUGUACUGAACUCCAGCCUCGUACCCAAAGUUUCAUGCAACUGAUUCCAAAACUUUGAGGUAAAUUGUGUUCCUCUAUCUAACACAAUACUCCUCGGAACUCCAUGCAAACAUACGAUCCUGGUCAUGUAUAUCUUGGCUAACUUAGCGUCGGUAUAGGUAGUCUUCACGGGAAUGAAAUGAGCUACCUUGGUCAAGCGAUCAACCACUACCCAGAUAGAAUCAUAACCUGAACGGGUCCUCGGUAAUCCUGUGAUAAAAUCCAUUCCAAGUUUUUCCCAUUUCCACUCGGGUAUCGGCAAAGGUUGAAGUAACCCUGCCGGCUUCUGAUGUUCCGCCUUUACUCGCUGACAAACAUCACAUACUGCUACGUACUCGGCAAUAUCCUUCUUCAUACCUGUCCAUCAGAAACUUUCCUUCAAAUCCAGAUACAUCUUGGUGUUGCCUGGGUGAAUCGAGUAUGGUGAAUCAUGGGCCUCCUGAAGAAUUAACUUCCUGACCUCUGGGUCAUUAGGCACAUAGAUGCGAUCCUCAAACCAUAAAUUUCCGUGCUCAUCUUCACGAAAACCUUUCGCCUUUCCGUUACACAUCUUUUCCUUUAUCUCUGCAAUUCCCUUGUCUGUCUUCUGGGCUUCACGGAUUCUUUCGGUCAGAGUGGACUGUAUAUCCAAGGUGGCGACAAAUCCUCUCGGUACUAUCUCCAGUCGGAGCUCUCUGAGAUCGUCGGCUAAUUCCUGAGGUAAUCCUCCAGCUAUGAGGGUGUUCACAUAACUUUUACGGCUCAAGGCAUCUGCUACAACAUUUGCCUUCCCUGGGUGAUAAUGCAAUCUCAUGUCAUAGUCCUUGAUCAAUUCAAGCCAUCUCCUCUGCCUGAGGUUCAAUUCCUUCUGCGUGAAAAUAUACUUCAGGCUCUUAUGAUCCGUGUAAACAUCACAACUGUUUCCGACAAGGAAAUGUCUCCAGGUCUUGAGUGCGUGCACUACGGCUGCUAACUCCAAAUCAUGUGUGGCAUAAUUCAUCUCGUGAGGUCGUAGCUGUCUGGAGGUAUAAGCUACAACUUUUCCUUCCUACAUGAGCACUCCUCCGAGUCCUUGACGAGAAGCAUCACAAUAUACCUGGUAAUCCUUGUGUAUGUCCUGCAAAAUUAGCACCGGGGCGGUAACCAAACGUGUCUUCAGCUCCUGAAAACUGGCUUCACAAUCCUUGGUCCAAAUGUACUUGGCUUCCUUCUUCAACAGCUCAGUCAUGGGCUUGGCAAUCUUGGAGAAAUUCUCAAUAAACCUCCGAUUAUAUCCCGCGAGUCCGAGAAAACUGCGAAUCUCCUUGACUGAGGUGGGGGAUUGCCAGUUGGUGACCGAUUCGACCUUGGUGGGGUCGACUGCUAUUCCUUCUCCUGAAAUAACAUGUCCGAGGAAUCCGACUUCCUUCAGCCAAAAUUCACAUUUGCUGAACUUGGCAUAUAACUGAUGUUCCCGGAGUUUCUCCAGAACUAGACGCAGAUGUUCCUUAUGCUCUUCCUUGCUCUUGGAGAAAACCAAUAUGUCAUCGAUGAACACCACGACAAACUUGUCCAGAUAUUCCAUAAAUACCUUGUUCAUCAUGCUCAUGAAAUACGCAGGGGCAUUAGUUAAUCCGAAUGACAUGACGGUAUACUCAUAUAAACCAUACCUGGUGGUGAAAGCUGUUUUGGGUAUAUCCUGUUCACGAAUCUUCAACUGAUGAUACCCUGAUCGAAGAUCGAUCUUGGAGAAUACCUUGGCUCCAACUAGUUGAUCAAAUAAAUCAUUAAUCAUCGGCAGAGGGUACUUGUUCUUGAUGGUCACAUCGUUCAAUGAACGAUAAUCCACAACCAUUCUCAGGGUUCCAUCCUUCUUCUCUACCAAAAGAACUGGGGCUCCCCAAGGUGAUGAGCUUGGACGAAUAUAUCCCUUCUCCAAUAGCUCCUUAAUUUGCUUCUUGAUCUCUUCCAAAUCAUUCGGGGGCAUCCGAUAGGGUCUCUUGGAUUUUGGGGUUGUGCCGGGCAAUAACUCAAUCAAAAACUCAAUGUCUCUGUCCGGUGGCAUUCCUGGUAAUUCCUCUGGAAACACAUCAGGAAAAUCUUGCACUACGGGCACUUCCUCCUGAACAACUCCCGUGAGGGAAUUCACCUGAUUCUUCAUCGGUGUGCGUCUGGAUACAUACUUGAUCCUCUUCUGCUCCGGGGUGGUGAGCAAAAUCGUCUUGCGGGCAUAGUCGAUGUUGCCUUCAAACUUGGUCAACCAAUCCAUGCCUAGAAUUACAUCCAAACUCUGGGAUUCCAAUACUAUGAGGUCUGCGGGAAAAUCAUGGUUUCCGAUGCUGAGGGUCGAAUGACAGCCUAAGCCUGCCGUCAUCUCUCCUCCUGGGGAAGUGACCUGAAGCGGGGUUCUAAGGGUUCUAGUGGGCAACCCGUACUUUUCCACAACUACCCUUGAUAUGAAUGAAUGCGUUGCACCGGAAUCAAAGAGUACCAAUACUGGAUGUGAAUUUAAUAAAAACUUACCAACCACAGUGUCUGGCUGAUCAUAGACGUCCUCCACGUCAAGGUGAUUCACCUGAGCACGAGGAAAAGGGUUGGGCUUCUGUGCUGAGCUUCCAUUGCCGUUGCCAUUUCCAUUCCUCUGCUUGGCCUCCGGACAAUCGGUGGCAUAGUGUCCUGUCUUCUGGCACUUGAAACAGGUGAUAUGACUCAGAUCCUUCUGAGCCGGAGCAGGAUGGUGCUGGUUGCCAUUGCCUUCAUUGCCUGACUUGGAGUUGUUGUCGUGGUUGCGAUUGUUCCCAUUCCCUCCAUGGUUAUGUCCUCCAUGAUUAUGUCCUCCAUGGGUGUGAUGGGUAUGUCCUCCCGAGUAUGGGGUACAGCGGGGCUUCUGCUGAGCUCCGGAGUUGUACUUUCCCUGGCCAUAUUUCCGCUUGUGGCUAUCAAUAUGCUGCUGCUUGCCUUCAAGUAUGGUGGCCUUGUCUACCAGCUCCUGGUAGUUGUUGAAGGUAGCCACCAUUAGCUGCAUUCCUAGCUCAUCAUUGAGUCCCUCGAGAAACUUCUCUUGCUUUGCGGCAUCUGUGGCCACAUCAUCUGGGGCAUAGCGAGAUAAUUUGCUGAACUCAUCCACGUAAUGCCCCACAGUACGGUUCCCCUGGCGUAAGUUGCGGAACUCACGCUUCUUCAGACUCAUGGCUCCAGCUGAGACAUGAGCGGUGCGGAAAGCCUGCUGGAACUCAGCCCAUGUCACGGUGGCGGCCGGAUAAGUGGCGGUGUAGUUCUCCCACCAAGAGGCUGCAGGUCCAUCAAGCUAAUGUGCGGCAAAGCGCACCUUCUCUGCAUCUGUGCAACCAGCAGUGGCUAACUCCCUUCCGACCUUGCGGAGCCAAUCAUCGACCACAAUCGGCUCAGUGCUACUAGAGAACACUGGCGGAUUCAGCCUUAGGAAGCGGGUCAAGUUGUCAAUAGGGGGUGGUGGCAGUGGAUUGUUGUUGUUGUUGUUGUUCUGGUUCUGGAUGAGCAUCUGCAUCAGGGCAUUCUGCUACUGGAUCAGCUGGGUGAGCUCCGGCGGAAAGUUGAAACCGGGGUCACGUCUCGGAGGCAUCUGGUGUUUUGGAGUGGAUGAGAAAUUAGAAUAGAACAAGGGUCUAAUGAGAAAAUAGCACUACCCAUAUGAAUGUGCAAUCAUAAUCACACCAAUCAUUUAUUCAUUCAUCUCAAACAAGGUUCAAUCUCGGAUUACAAAAACCUCACGACUAAUCGAAAAUAAUGGCCUAACUGAUCGACAAAGAAAUAAUAACAUGGCGGUCGACUAAAUGUCUUCAUCAAUUAUUCUUGCGUCCUCUGGUGCGGCGUCUCCUCUUGCGGCUUCCUUUGGUGGAGCUCUCUUCAUAAUCCUGGUCAUUGCUCACGAGGGGUCCAUCAUCUCCACUCGGAAAAAGGUCUUCUCCCAGGUCUAUCUUCUCCUCCAGUGUGGCAAUAUAUUUAUCCCGGACCUCGAUUCUACCCAUAAAAUCCUUGACUUCUUCUUCAUGUUCAAGGAAGUCCGCGCGUGCUUUCUCCUUUAGUUCCAGUUCACGGAACAACAGCCUCCUGUGUACCUUCGAGUUUCGGCGCGUCUGGAUUUCCCGGUUCCUGAUGAGACUCCAAGUCUUGGACAUAUGAAAGAAUGGAGUCGUCCUCUAUGGUACGGAUGAUAUCUCCAUUCCUAGCUCUGCGAGAAAUCAUGGCGAGGUCUGAUGGGUCGAGCUCGGCCCUGUACUCUUCUCGGAGAUGUCCAAGUGCACGAUAAAUCGCCAUGUCUCUUCCGAGGAUCCAAGUGAAAUCGGUAAACUCAAAGUCAAUGGGCUCUGAAUGUCCUCCGAAGGUCCUCCCUGGAAUGUGCACCAUAAUCCUGUAGCGGGUAUCCGUCGGAAGUGCAUUGAUAGGCUUCCCGGUGAUUGAGGGCAGAGAAAUCUUCAGCUUCUUCACGAUCUGAACCAACUUCUUGCCGAGAAGCAUCAUCUCAUCUAGCUGGCAAAAGUCCGGUAGCAGAACUGGGGUGAACUCGACGGCCAUCUAGAAUGUUGAAAAUCGGAGAGAAGUCAGAAAUGAACAGGGGAGAAUUACAGAAUGAUAAGGACAUAAAAUAAAAUAGUCUCUUCCUAUGGCUUUCCGAUCCUAGGGGUUACGUCCUACGGUCAGCGUGUGCUCUGAAUACCAUCUCUGUAGCGACCCGACCCGAAAUCGGUCAAGUCUCUGUGUAGCUGUACCAUCCCAAGAUCAUGCUGGCACACACAGUACAUUGAUGCAAAGAUUCAAAGUUCAAUCACACCUAAAUUUAUUACACGAUUCUCAUAUCGAGUCUUUAUUACAUCAUAAUAAAUUCGGCCGAAGGCCAACUCAUGAGAAAUAAACUAAAUAAAGCAAGAGAUAUUGGUGCGGCGAGGAUGGGUGCAGGGUAGUUUUGUGGAGCUAUGGUGAGGGCCGAGAGAGAAGCGGCCGCGGCGUUGGCAGCCUUGGCGAUGAGUGCGGCCCGGCGCUCGAAGUAGCCAGGCGGCGGCGGCGGUGGCGUUGGCGGAGCCAUACCCUAAACCCUGGGACCGGUAUCUGAUACCAUGAAAGCUGAAUAAAACUGUUGCUUAUUGAUGAUUUGGUGCGGCAUACAAGAGUAUAUAAGAGGGUACAAACCGACUUGGGGUAGGGGUACAAAACUGACUUGGACUAGAAGUCGUAUACCAUAAUGACUACUCUAACAGAUGUAAGGGUAUUUUCAUAGUUGACUUUUUGUUUCUAUGUUACCAUCAUAGAAAAAAAAACCAUCUAUGUAGUGCUAAUAGAAUGGAACAUAAUUCACUUCGCAUGACUAUGAUGGUGUCGCCGCAAAACGCCCCGAUGGUAUCGACGGAGAAUGUUAAUAUGAUGGGGUCAAUAUGUAAAAAGCAUGGUAACUUACGCAUCACACAUCUGAUAACUUACGUAUAAGCACUGUGAUAACUUUCACGGGAGUGGGGUUUGUUGAAAACAUAUCCCUGUUAACUUUUGUAUGAAGAGCAUAGUAAUUUACACACCACACACCUGAUAACUUGCGUACAAACACUGUGAUAACUUUGGUGGGGAUGGUUUUUUUAACAUCGGCAUAAUAUUAACUAAGGAACCACAUGGCAAAGAGUUUCCUGGAUACAAUCCGGAACAGAAUGAAAAACACACAAAGCCCUAAGAUUCUUACAAGACUUAGCUAACAUAUGAGCCACUACAUUGAGAUGCCGACGAAUGUAGCGACCCGACCCGAAAUCGGUCAAGUCUCUGUGUAGCUGUACCAUCCCAAGAUCAUGCUGGCACACACAGUACAUUGAUGCAAAGAUUCAAAGUUCAAUCACACCUAAAUUUAUUACACGAUUCUCAUAUCGAGUCUUUAUUACAUCAUAAUAAAUUCGGCCGAAGGCCAACUCAUGAGAAAUAAACUAAAUAAAGCUGCGGAAGCGUAGACGAAUAGCGAGUCCAUCCGACUCCAUAGGGCAAUCGCCAAGCGUGGAUCGUAGCCUCACUCCUGAUCGGAAAACUCCUCUGCAACAUAAGACGUUGCAGCCGUGUAGGUCAGCAUUUUGAAUAUGCCGGCAAGUCAUGAAGAGAGAACAACAAUAAAAUUACUAAUACUAUAUGCAAUUUGGCUGUGGGGCUCUAAGUUUCAUUGUUUUGCGAAAAAGCCGGUUUUUCCCUACAACAGUGAACUUGUUUGCACUUACUACAAAAUGUUGGUAGUUAUUGAGAUGGUUCUGCCAACCAAUGUCUCAUUCCCAAUUAUUAAAUAACCCCUCAAUUAGUUUAUUAAGUUCGGUGUUGAGAUUUCCGAAAUACUCCAAUCCCAGAGGCUCAUUUGUCCGUAAUCGGGGACACAGCUAAUCGAUUAGGUUGUUAGUCUGCAGAGGUUUGUGCACUUUACCCGCAAGAAUCGUUCCCUCCUUUAAGUCUUCGCACUACCUGGUGUUUGAAGACGGGAUGAACGAAACAGGGUCUUCCAAAGAGUUCCUCUGGGCCACUGCCGGUGCCCAUCCAAUCCUACCGUUCUUCUACAUCUCGUAGCACCGUCCGGCCAGAGUCAUGCCUAGGGUCAACCCAGCCAGAGCCCAUAAUGGCUUGCAGCUGCACAGGUAAGCUUCCGGUCAAUGGGGUAUCCAUCCGUCUCUUCGUGGUUGGGUGAAGCUUUCCGCAAGAUGUCAUGGCGCUUCUCCAUGCAUCCCGGCCAUCCGCUGGUUUCUCCAGGGUGCCCGUCAACCGUCCUCCACCCAGUAGUGAAUUUUGAAGUCCAUCUUGAGCUUGAUGUCAUGGGGUUUUCAUCAUCUUGAAUCUCGCCUCUCCCUUAUGAAUCACUCAACCAACCCCGUCUACGAGCAUAGCAAAAUAAACUACAUCGUCCCGGGCAUCGGUAACAAGGGAGAAGGGUUCAUCCUACCUCAUGAUACUACUCAAGAACAUAACUUAACAAAAUUCUCCUACUGCAUGCAUGGUGGGGAGGUAUAACUCUAAUGCAAUAAAAUCAUAGGUACUGUAAAAACAUGAUCAAAUGACUUGCCUGGCUGACGGUCUUCGAAAGCUAGCGACUCGUAAUAGCAGGCUUCGCACUCCGGGAAUUCUACCGAGUCAAAUAAUAGCACAAAUAAGAAUAGCACAAUAUAACAUAACAACAAGUUGAAGUAAAACACCUAAGCACUCAAACCAAAACCAAAGAAAAACUCGGAGAAAGCAAAUCAAGGUUUUCAUCAUAACAAGCAACAACUAAUAAAUAGUUUUACACAACUAAAACUUUUCUUAACAGAACCUAAACAUUGGUUUUGCUAACUAACAGAAGGGAAAACAUCAUACAAACUAGUAGAAAAAAGAAUCACAUCAAAAGCUAUUAUAGAACUCCUAUUAUGCCUAAAACAAUCCUAGCAAAGAAAAUAAAAUAAAAAAAUUUAUUCUACCGUAAAUAAAAGUUCCUCCUCUGUAGCUACAGAAACUAAUCUAAAAUAAACUAUAACAUAAUAAAAAUAAAAUUAUUUACUAACUAGAACAGUAGGAAAACAGUAGCUAGCUAAAUAAACAAAAAAAACUUGAGUUCGACAUAAACCUAAUUGUUUAUUAAAUCUAAAAUACCCAAACAAGUUCCUACUGCUAGGCAUGGUCAAAACUAAGCAGUAGCAAAAAGAAACACCUAAAAAUAUUAAUUCUAGCUCAAUUUAUGGCAGAAAUACUAAUCUGACUAAAACUAAUAUAAAACAAUUUUUAAGAACUAAAGCAUGGCCGAAUCUACUUUCUACAGAAACUAUAGGAAAUUUGCAAACUAGAGCAAAAAGAAUCAACUAAAAAAAUGAAUAACCUAAAAGUUGUAGAUUUUACAAGAACAGAACUAUUCUGUUUUAAAAACAGAAACUAAAAAAAACUAACGCUCUAACGGGCCGGAACAGUGAGCGCUCUAAAACUAUUCAGCGCCUAAGCGUUUAAUAAACCAAUGCGUCCACGGGCUAACAGAAAUAAACCGAUCGGCCGGUCCAAUUAAACCGCAACUUAAAAUAAACUGAUCUAAACCGAAACAAAAACCAAUCUAUAUGAAAUAAAACAAUACCCCUUCGGGAUCUAAUCUGGGCCCUAGAUUGGAAAUCGGACGGUGGUGGGGAGUCCGGUGGCUUACAGUGGCGGUCGACGGCGAGGUGGGCUCGGGCGUUGGUGGCGGGGGUGCUCCGGUGGUCCGAGGCGGCGGCGGAGUCGUCGGGCGGGUGCGGCAGCUCAAGGCGGAGACUCCGGUGGAGUCGUCGGAGGCCGGGGACGUCGGAGUCGAUCGGGGCGAGCUCGGGUGAGCUCCUGCUCCGGCGGGCGGCGGACGAGCUCGGGACGAUGGCGUCGGGGGCUCCUGGAUAGGGAGAUGAUGUCAAGGAGGUGCGGCACGAAGUGGAGGUUCGGGUGAAGAUGCUUGGAGGGGCAGAGGGUGCUCACCGACGGCGUAAGUGGCGGCGAACCGAGGUGUCGGUGGCGAGAUGCGAACGGAGAUGGCGACGGCUCUGGUGGGUUUCGGGCGUAGGGUUUAAGGGGUUCGAGAGAGGAGGGGCUUGACCUUUUAUAGGGCGUAGCCUUGGGCGAGGGGGCGUCUCGGGAUCACGAUCCCAGGAAGAUCGGAACCGCGGCGCGCUCUGUACGUGCUCUGGUUCGGUUUUGUGAGCGAGGGGUUGGGGAUGAGGGCGGGCCCCGCGGUCAGUGAGACAGAGAGGGGGAGAGGCGCGACGGGCGACCGAGGGUGAGGGGGUUCGGGCAUCGGGCGCUGGGGGCAGGCCGGCUCGGGUGUUGGUGGGCUGCGCCUGGCUCGCUGGUGGGCUGCGCUCGGCGCUGGCUGGGCCGGUUGGCCUGGCGGGCGCCUGGGGCUUUCCCUUUUUUUUGAAUUAGAGAGAAGGGAAAAUAUAGAAAAAUAUAUAUUAUUUUUAUAUAGGACAUAUAUAUAUAUAAAUUCUCAGGGGAAUUAAUCCUACAACGUGGACAUUUUUCCAGAGGUAAAACUCAAACAAAAAAACAAUUUCUGGAAAUCCCAAAUAAAAUUCAAAUUUGAAUUCAAACUUUUUGGCAAUACUUUUAUUCUGACAUUUUUUUGGAGUGUCAUGUUAGCUCCUCUCAUACUUUUGAUCAAGUAUUUGUCAGGGAUAUUUGAAAUAAAUUUCAAUGCCAAAUCAAGUUCAAAUUCACAACAAAAACUCAACUGCCUCUGAAAUUUUCAAAUGCCACUCAAUUUCAAUCAAAAUGCAUAGAUGCUUAGCUAAUAAUUGUAAAACAUUCCAAAUUGAAAAUUUGGGAUGUUACAACGAACAUGCUUAAACUCCACAGAACUGAAGCCGUGAGCCGCUAGCGAAAUAUCAGCCACCACCGAGCCGACAGAAGAACGGCCCCGAAGUGAAGAAUGAAGUCGUUGGACAGGCGAUAGGCAGUCGGAAGCAAAAACAAUAUCACCGAAACUCUCGUCACGAGCCAGAUAAACAGCCCAACGAAGAGCCAGAGCCUCCGCAUAUCCAGGUGCAAGCGCCCCCCAGGAAGGGUUCGCAACAAGCCGCAAGGAAGUGUCCAGAAGGGUUCAACGCCACAAUACCAGCACCUGAUUGAUCAAGAUCGUCAAAUAUUGUUGCAUCAGAAAAGAUCAAAACAUACCUGCAGGCGGUGGAGACAAAGUAGAGCUAGAAGCAUGAAUCUCACGCCUAUGAAAAGACACAAGUUUGAAAAAAAUGAGUCACAAUCAAGUAAAUAUAGGCCUUUAUUUUUUCAGCAGUACGCCGUGGAUGGGAUAUCUCAUAAUUGUCCCAAGCAAAAUUCCGUGCAUCCCACAAAUACCAAAAAGUGACAACCAUCAUCGUAGCAUGGGAGUUCGGACGAUCGGGCAAGGAAAUCAAAUAUUCAUUGCUUCGGCAAUCUAAAAUCGCGACGGGCAAGCAGGACGUCACAAGAUAGGGGUUGUUGUAAUACACUCCCGAUAUAUUCACAUACCAGAUAACUUAUGUGCAACAUGUUGAUAACUUUUAACACGGGGAAAUAAAGAUAAACAUCCUUCGAUAACUCGUGUAUGAAUAACAUGGAAAUAUAUACACAACAAAGGUAAUAAGUUAGUUAGCCCGGGCCUGGUAACUUUUUAACCAAAAAAGUUAUCGAAAUAUAUCAACAUGAGAUCUAGUUUCGAAGGCCUCAUCGCAACGAAUUUCUCAUGUGAAAAUAAUUUUUGUAACAAAGAGAUUGUUUGAGUUACAAAACUGAAGGAAAUAUGCCCUAGAGGCAAUAAUAAAGUUGUUAUUUAUAUUUCCUUAUAUCAUGAUAAAUGUUUAUUAUUCAUGCUAGAAUUGUAUGAACCGGAAACUUAGUACAUGUGUGAAUACAUAGACAAAACAGAGUAUCCCUAGUAUGCCUCUACUUGACUAGCUCGUUAAUCAAAGAUGGUUAAGUUUCCUGACCAUAGACAUGUGUUGUCAUUUGAUGAACGAGAUCACAUCAUUGGAGAAUGAUGUGAUGGACAAGACCCACCCGUUAGCUUAGCAUAAAUGAUCGUUUAGUUUUAUUGCUAUUGCUUUCAUCAUGACUUAUACAUGUUCCACUGACUAUGAGAUUAUGCAACUCCCGAAUACCGGAGGAACACCUUGUGUGCUAUCAAACGUCACAACGUAACUGGGUGAUUAUAAAGAUGCUCUACAUGUGUCUCCGAUGGUGUUUGUUGAGUUGGCAUAGAUCGAGAUUAGGAUUUGUCACUCCGUGUAUCGGAGAGGUAUCUCUGGACCCUCUUGGUAAUGCACAUCACUAUGAGCCUUGCAAGCAAUGUGACUAAUGAGUUAGUUGCGGGAUGAUGCAUUAUAGAACGAGUAAAGAGACUUGCCGGUAACGAGAUUGAACUAGGUAUGAUGAUACCGACGAUCGAAUCUCGGGCCAGUAACAUACUGAUGACAAAGGGAACAACGUAUGUUGUUAUGCGGUUUGACCGAUAAAGAUCUUCGUAGAAUAUGUAGGAGUGGAUAUGAGCAUCCAAGUUCUGCUAUUGGUUAUUGAACGAAGAUGUGUCUCGGUCAUGUCUACAUAGUUCUCGAACCCGUAGGGUCCGCACGCUUAAUGUUCGAUGACGAUCGGUAUUAUGAGUUUAUGUGUUUUGACGUACCGAAGGUUGUUUGGAGUCCCGGAUGUGAUCACGGACAUGACGAGGAGUCUCGAAAUGGUCGAGACAUAAAGAUCGAUAUAUUGGAAGGCUAUGUUUGGACACCGGAAUGGUUCCGGAUGAGUUCGGGCAUUUUCCGAAGUACCGAGAGGUUACCGGAACCCCCCGGGGAGUCAAUGGGCCUUAUUGGGCCUUAGUGGAAGAGAGGAGGAGGCGGCCAGGUGGAGGGCGCGCCCCCCAAGCCCAAUCCGAAUUGGGGUGGGGGGCGGCCCCCCUUUCCUUCUCUCCCUCUCCCUCUUCCUUCUCCUACUCCAACUAGGAAGGGGGGAAACCUACUCCUACUGGGAGUAGGACUCCCCCCUUGGGCGCGCCCUAUGAGGGCCGGCCCUCUCCUCCUCCCCUCCUUUAUAUACGGGGGAGGGGGCACCCCACAGACACACAAUAUGACAGUUGUCUUAGCCGUGUGUGGUGCCCCCUCCACAGAUUUCCACCUCGGUCAUAUUGUUGUAGUGCUUAGGCGAAGCCCUGCGUCGGUAACUUCAUCAUCACCGUCAUCACGCCGUCGUGCUGACGAAACUCUCCCUCAGCCUCAGCUGGAUCAAGAGUACGAGGGACGUCACCGAGCUGAACGUGUGCAAAUCGCGGAGGUGCCAUGCGUUCGGUAAUUGAUCAGUUGGAUCACGAUGACGUUCGACUACAUCAACCGCGUUACUUAAUGCUUCCGCUUUCGGUCUACGAGGGUACGUGGACACACUCUCCCUCUCGUUGCUAUGCAUCACCUAGAUGGAUCUUGCGCGUGCGUAGGAUUUUUUUUGAAAUUACUACGUUCUCCAACAGUGGCAUCCGAGCUAGGUCAAUGCGUAGAUGUUAUAUGCACGAGUAGAACACAAAGAGUUGUGGGUGAUAAUAGUCAUACUGCUUACCAACAUGUCAUACUUUGAUUCGGCGGUAUUGUUGGAUGAAGCGGCUCAGACCGACAUUACGCGUACGCUUACGCGAGACUGGUUCUACCGAUGUGCUUCGCACACAGGUGGCUAGUGGGUGUCUGUUUCUCCAACUUCAGUUGAAUCGAGUGUGACUACGCCCGGUCCUUGUUGAAGGUUAAAACAGCAAACUUGAUGAAAAAUUGUUGUGGUUUUGAUGCGUAGGUAAGAACGGUUCUUGCUAAGCCCGUAGCAGCCGCGUAAAACUUGCAACAACAAAGUAGAGGACGUCUAACUUGUUUUUGCAGGGUAUGUUGUGAUGUGAUAUGGUCAAGACAUGAUUAUAUAAAUUAUUGUAUGAGAUGAUCAUGUUUUGUAACACAGUUAUCGGCAACUGGCAGGAGCCAUAUGGUUGUCGCUUUAUUGUAUGAAAUGCAAUCGCCAUGUAAUUGCUUUACUUUAUCACUAAGCGGUAGCGAUAGUUGUAGAAGCAAUAGUUGGCGAGACGACAAUGAUGCUUCGAUGGAGAUCAAGGUGUCAAGUCGGUGACGAUGGUGAUCAUGACGGUGCUUUCGAGAUGGAGAUCAAAGGCACAAGAUGAUGAUGGCCAUAUCAUAUCACUUAUAUUGAUUGCAUGUGAUGUUUAUCCUUUAUGCAUCUUAUUUUGCUUAGUACGGCAGUAGAAUUAUAAGAUGAUCUCUCACUAAAUUUCAAGGUAUAAGUGUUCUCCCUGAGUAUGCACCGUUGCUACAGUUCGUCGUGCCGAGACACCACGUGAUGAUCGGGUGUGAUAAGCUCUACGUUCACAUACAACGGGUGCAAGCCAGUUUUGCACAUGCAGAAUAUUCGGGUUAAACUUGACGAGCCUAGCAUAUGGAGAUAUGGCCUCGGAACACUGAGACCGAAAGGUCGAGCGUGAAUCAUAUAGUAGAUAUGUUAACCAUAGUGAUGCUCACCAUUGAAAACUACUCCAUCUCACGUGAUGAUCGGACAUGGUUUAGUUGAUUUGGAUCACGUGAUCACUUAGACGAUUAGAGGGAUGUCUAUCUAAGUGGGAGUUCUUAAGUAAUACGAUUAAUUGAACUUUAAUUUAUCAUGAACUUAGUCCUGGUAGUAUUUGCAUAACUAUGUUGUAGAUCAAUAGCUCGUGAUGUAGCUCCCCGUUUAUUUUUGAUAUGUUGCUAGAGAAAAACUAUGUUGAAAGGUGAUAGUAGCAACGAUGCGGACUAGGUCCGUGAUCUGAGGAUUAUCCUCAUUGCUGCACAGAAGAAUUAUGUCCUUAAUGCACCUCUAGGUGACAAACCUAUUGCAGGAGCAGAUGCACACGUUAUGAAUGUUUGACAAAGCUCGGUAUGAUGACUACUUAAAUAGUUUAGUGCAUCAUGCUUUACGGCUUAGAACCGGGACUUCAAAAACAUUUUGAACGCCGCGGAGCAUAUAAGAUGUUCUAAGAGUUGAAAUUGGUAUUUCAUACUCAUGCCCGUGUUGAGAGGUAUGAGACCUCUGACAGUAGUUUGCCUACAAGAUGGAGGAGAAUAGCUCAACCAGUGAGCAUGUGUUGAGAUUGUCUGGGUACUACAAUUGCUUGAAUCAAGUGGGAGUUAAUCUUCCAGAUAAGAUAGUAAUUGAUAAAGUUCUCUACUCACUAUCACCAAGUUACUAGAACUUAGUGAUGAACUAUAAUAUGCAAGGGAUGACGAAAGUAAUUCCCAAGCUCUUCGCGAUGCUGGAAUUGGAGAAGGUAGAAAUCAAGAAAUAGCAUCAAGUGUUGAUGGUUAACAAGACCACUAGUUUCAAGAAAGGGGCAAAGGAAAAGAAAGAGGAACUUCAAAGAAGAAUAGCAAGCAAGUUGCUGCUCCGAUGAACAUGCCCAAAGCUAGACCCAAGCCUAGAACUGAGUGCUUCUACUGCAAAGGAAAUGGCCACUGGAAGUGGAACUGCCCUAGAUACUUGGCGGAUAAGAAGGAUGGCAUAGUGAACAAAAGUAUAUUUGAUAUACAUGUUAUUGAUUUGUACUUUACUAGUGUUUAUAGAAACCCCUCGGUAUUUGAUACUAGUUUAGUUGCUAAGAGUAGUAACUAAAAACAGGAGUUGCAGAAUGAACACAGACUAGUUAUGGGCGAAGUGACGAUGUAUGUUGGAAAUGAUUCCAAGGUUGAUAAGAUCACCAUGGCACACUCCCUCUACCUUCGACAUUAGUGUUGGACCAAAAUAAAUGUUAUUUGGUGUUUGCGUUGAGCAUGAAUAUGAUUGGAUCAUGUUUAUUGCAAUACAGUUAUUUAUUUAAGGCAAAGAAUAAUUGUUGUUCUGUUUACAUGAAUAAAACUGUAACAUUCCAAAUUUUCAAUUUGUAAAUGUUAUACAUAGGUCAUCAUAUGCAUAUCAUAUUUUAUUUGCAUUUUGGUUUUGAUCCUAGAAAUUUCUAAGCAACUCAAGAACCCACGGAGAGAGUUGGGGAUUUCAUUUAUUUUCAUAUUUGAAUUUUUCUCAAAUAUUGAAAAGAGGAUAAUUUUGGUUUUAAUUAUAUUUCUCUCCUAAAAUAUUUCCAAUAUAAAAAUAAAUGAUAGGAGAUAAUAUGACUUCUCCAAAAUAAAAGAAAUAUUGGAGGAAAAAUAUUAAAAUCAAAUAAAUAUUUUAUUUUGGAUUUUAUUUGCUAUUUUAUUCGAAUUAGAAAAAAAUAUGCAUUUUCCAAAAUUGCAUAUUUAGGCCAAGAAAAUGUUCACUAUGUUCUAAAUAUUUUAUUUAGAUGGUGAAAAUUAUUUUUGGCAUUUUUAGAUUUUUUUUAUUUAUUUAGGAUUUUUUCCUUUUGACGGAAUUUUUUUAAAANNNNNNNNNNNNNNNNNNNNNNNNNNNNNNNNNNNNNNNNNNNNNNNNNNNNNNNNNNNNNNNNNNNNNNNNNNNNNNNNNNNNNNNNNNNNNNNNNNNNNNNNNNNNNNNNNNNNNNNNNNNNNNNNNNNNNNNNNNNNNNNNNNNNNNNNNNNNNNNNNNNNNNNNNNNNNNNNNNNNNNNNNNNNNNNNNNNNNNNNNNNNNNNNNNNNNNNNNNNNNNNNNNNNNNNNNNNNNNNNNNNNNNNNNNNNNNNNNNNNNNNNNNNNNNNNNNNNNNNNNNNNNNNNNNNNNNNNNNNNNNNNNNNNNNNNNNNNNNNNNNNNNNNNNNNNNNNNNNNNNNNNNNNNNNNNNNNNNNNNNNNNNNNNNNNNNNNNNNNNNNNNNNNNNNNNNNNNNNNNNNNNNNNNNNNNNNNNNNNNNNNNNNNNNNNNNNNNNNNNNNNNNCCUCGCCUCGCCGGAGCCCCGCCGAAAGCCGCCGCCGCCGGAUUUGCCGGUUCUCGUCGAUUUUUUUUGGUUUAGGUAAAACCGCUGGUUUUUUUAAAACCCUGGAUUGGUUUUUUUAUUCUUAGAUCGGUUUGGUUUUUCUCGGUUUAGCUUAUUCCGCGAACGUUCAUUCGUUAGCUCGUUUUAACGAACGUUUUCGUUCGUUUGUCUCUGUUAGCGGACGUUCGUCCGAUAGAUUUUUCCUUUUCUGUUUUAUUUUCGUCAGGGACCUAUCCGCGAAUACUUUUAUCGCACAUUAGCCCCUGAUCUUCAAACCUUCGCAACUUUUCAAUCGUACGUCCAAAUCCAGUGAAACCAACGCCAAAAUCUUCGUCUCAAUCCCCUCUUUCUGGUUAAUCAACUUGAACAUGGUUUGGGCAAUUUAAAAUUUGGUUUCAAGCAGAUUUGUUUUCGAAGUUCUUUUGACCGUAGUUUCAGUUCCGUAGCUCCGAUUUGGUUGAUUCUUUUUGCAAAUCGAAGCUCUUCAGUUGAACUUUCAGAUUGAAUCUUCUUAUUUGAGUUUACCAUUGCAUCUAUGCUUGAGUGCUUAUGUAUGCUAUUGUUUGUUUGCGAUAGAAUUCCCGGAGUGCGAAGCGUGCUACUACGAGUCUCUAGGUUUUGCGGAUCGUCAGCAAGGCAAGUAACACAUUGAUGAUACCCCUUUAUUGCCCAGUUUUUAUGCAUUAGUUACAAUCCUCAAACACUUCAUGAAUAGGAUGUGAUUAACUUGUGGGUAUUGGGAAGUAGAUGAUGAGGUAGAACCUAUUACCCUGCUUUAUUAUCAAACCUUGGGAGUUACUUCUACGUUAUGUUUAGGAUGCUAUGCUAUGCUCGUAGACGUGGUUUGGUUUGAGUGAUCCAUGACAAAUGUGAGAUUAUUAAUUAAUGGUUAACUUAAGGUGGCUACUUCAAUACACAUCUAGGUGGAGUGGUUGCAGGCACCUGGGGAUAUACCAGUGUUGUCUUUUGGUUCGCCACCCAGGCUCAAAGGGAUCAUAAGAUUAUUCAUGCUAGAAACUUCCGUGUGCAGCCACAAGCUAUUAUGGGCUCUAGCAUAGUUGAGUAUGUUGCAUGACCUCUUUCGGUGGUAGGCUAGCGGAUGUAGGGGAUGUAGGUUGGUACUGUCUACCCAGAGUAAAGAGUUAAUGCUUCUGAAAGACUGUGUCUCGGUCAUCCAUUUCUCAAACACCAUGUAGUGCGAGAAAUCCAACGAAGGAGAUCGAGUCUUGUGGGGAAAAGUGCGCAAACCUCUGCAGAGUGUACAAACUAAUCAUGGUUAGCCGUGUCCCCGGUUAUGGACAUCUUGAGUAUCUGGUUCUUGGAUUAUCAUGUUGAUCUCAUCACUCUAAGUUAAUUUGUUGGGUUGUUAAUUACUUUUAAUUGGGAUUGAGAUGGGGGUACCAUUCUCAAUGUUUAUCAACUACCAUGAUAGUUAAAUAAAACAUAUUCCUUUGAUGUAGGGAAAAAUUGGCUUUUCGCAAAACAUUAUAACCAUAGAGUCUCCACCAGCCAUAUAUGCAUGUAGUGAUAGUAUUUAUUCUAUGCAUUGCUCUACUGUGUUAUAUUCCCAGCAUAUUCCAUGUGCUGACCCGUUUCGGGCUGCAACAUAUCAUGUUGCAGACUUUUCAGAGGAAGAGUAAGGUGCGCUAGGUCGUUGUCGUGCACUCAGCUAUGCCGUUGGAGUUGAUGGACUCACUUUAUCUUCCAAGCCUUCCGCUGUUAUCGUAUUUAGUUGGUCUUAAGCCAUAUUUAUUGUAAUAAGUUCUCUUUUGAGACAUUCGAUGUAAUAAGUGUGUGAUUGCACUCUGUUAUAAAUCCUUCAAGUACUAUGUGUGUCAGCAUUACCGAUCCAGGGAUGACACUUAUGCACAGAGAUUUGACCGUUUGAGGUCGGAUUGCUACAAGAUGGUAUCAGAGCACACGCUGAUUGUAGGACACGACCACUAAUAUGAGCCAUAGGUCACUCUUCUCUACUCAUUUUUGACUCCUCUCCAUUUUCCACUCUAUAGGAUGGCGGGCGAAGACACACCUUUUGGACGACACUUGAAGGAAGUCACUUGGUACCUGAACAUAGGAAUACCAAGCUUCACCGGGACCUACACCGCCACUUUACCAGAAGAGGAGCGUUGGAUGAUACGAGUUCAAGUCCCAGGUAGGACCUUCACUCCAGUUACUGAGCCCAUAUAGUUUUCCUUUGAUGCACCAACCUGGAGUCUAGGAAAGAGCAUGGCAGCCCACAUCGCCAUGGGACGCAUCGGCGAAGUCUAUCACAAGGAUCUUAAGGACACCAUCUACCAGAUAUGUGGGCACCGGGAUGAGCAAUGGGAGAUGAUCAGCACCAGGAGGGACAGGUCCAUUGAAGCUUUCAUCCAGGAGUUAAACCAGCACAUUCGUCGCCAGGAGAACCAAAUUGCGCAAGCAUGAUAGACCUGAAGAAGGUGAUGACCAGGAACAUGGAGCUUGAAGAGGAACUGAAGUCUACACACGACGGAUAUGAGGAGGAAAUCGCAAUACUAGUGGAGAAGAAUGCCGACCUGACAAGGAAGCUAGGAGUAUUCAUGGGAGACCCCGCGCCAGGAGGAGAUGAUGACCAUCCCGAGGACUACAUCAUCAUCGACGACACCGACUCCGACCCCGACAGUAGUGAUGAUGAUUAUGAAGACGAAGCUGGAGCGGAUAUCAUGGAGUCUUCCACCGAUCAAAAUUUCUAGUAGACCACCAUAUUAUUAGUAGUAUUUCCCCAUGUAUAUAGUAGUAGUCCGAACACUUCUGUAACGAUAGUUAGAUCGAUUGUAUGCCCUUGUUUGAAUUGAUUGGUGUGAUAUGUUGUGUUUGUCUCAUGUGCAUAUGGGUAGUGCUUUCUCACUAGACCUCACUCUAUUCUAAUCUCUCCCCUCUAAAACCAUCAGAUGCCUUCGAGACGUGACCCUGGAUUUGUCUUCCCACCGGGGCUCACUCAGUUGAUCCAACAGCAGAAUGCCUUGAUGCAGUUACUAGUCCAGAACCAAGGCAACAACAACAACAACAACAACAACAACAACAACAACAACCCACGGCCACCACCUCCAGUUGACAAAUUAGCCCGUUUUCUGAGGUUGAAGCCGCUGGUGUUUUCCAAUAGCACUGAGCCAAUAGUUGCUGAUGAUUGGCUAUGCAGGAUUGGAAGGGAGUUAACCACCGCAGGUUGCACAGAUGCUGAGAAGGUGCGUUUUGCCGCACACCAAUUGGAUGUACCCGCAGCCUCAUGGUGGGAGAAUUACACAGCCACUUUCCCUAUAGCCAAUGUCACUUGGGAGCAGUUUCAGCAAGCAUUGCGCACUGCACAUGUCUCAAUUGGAGCUAUGAGCAUGAAGAAGCGUCAGUUUCGCAACUUACGCCAGGGAAACCGUACUGUGGGGCAGUACGUGGAUGAGUUUAGUAAGUUAGCCCGCUAUGCCCCAGAUGAUGUGGCCACAGAUGCUGCUAAGCAGGAGAAGUUUAUGGAAGGGCUGAAUGAUGAGAUGAGUAUGCAGUUAAUGGUGGCAACAUUUAACAACUACCAUGAGUUGGUAGACAAGGCCCUAAUGAUUGAAGGGAAGCAGCAGCAGAUUGAGAGCCGCAAAAGGAAGUAUGGACAAGGGAAGUACAAUUCAGGAGCUCAGCAGAAGCCUCGUUUUACCCCAAACUCGGGAGGAUAUACUCAUAACCAUGGAGGCCAUACCCACAAUGGAGGAAGUUCGCAUAACCACAGUGGCCCCAAGAAUGGAAAUGCGAAUGGAGCAGGUAGCAAUCAGAACCGUUCUAACCCAGCCACACCCGCCAAGAAGGACCAAAGUCACAUUACUUUUUUCAAGUGCGGGAAGACUGGACACUAUGCCAAUGAGUGUCCUGAAGCAAAGAAUGGAAAUGGCAAUGGAAGCUCUGGGAAGAAGCCCAACCCUUUUAACAGGGGACAAGUGAACCACGUGAACGUGGAGGAGGUUGAAGAGCAGCCAGAUGCAGUUAUCGGUAAGUUUUUGGUUAAGUCAUUUACCGCUCUCGUUCUUUUUGAUACUGGUGCAUCGCAUUCAUACAUAUCAAGGGGAUUUGUGGACAAGUUUAAGUUACCCACCUUAGCCCUUAGGUCACCCAUGCUAGUAAGCUCACUAGGUGCAGAGUAUAUGGCCAGCCAAUGGUGCGAUCGGUUACCCUUAACCAUAGGCAGCCAUGUUUUCCCCAUAGACCUAAUAAUUCUGGAGUCACAAGGAUUGGAUAUAAUACUAGGCAUGGAUUGGCUAUCGAAGUAUGGAGGAAACAUUGACUAUGCUAGCAGGUCAAUUCUGCUCACCACCCCGGAGGGAAAAAGGAUUAAGUAUGUAUCCAUGCACGCGCCAAAGAGAACCCAAGUAAAUUCCCUCUCGGGAGUUGUUCAGGAGGAAGUGCCUGUAGUGAAGGAUUAUCCGGAUAUAUUCCUAGAGGAGCUACCACGCAUGCCGCCGGAUCGAGACAUUGAGUUUUUGAUAGAGCUGUUACCAGGCACCGGACCGAUAUCGAAGAGACCCUACCGGAUGCCCGCAAAUGAUCUGGAGGAGAUUAAGAAGCAGAUUAAGGAGUUAUUGGAGAAGGGUUACAUUCUACGAAGUUCGUCACCGUGGGCAGCACCAGUGCUUUUGGUUGAGAAGAAGGAUGGAUCUUUGAGAAUGGUUGUUGACUAUCGUGCAUUGAAUGAAGUGAUGAUCAAGAACAAGUACCCACUGCCGAUGAUCAAUGAUUUGUUUGAUCAGUUGCAAGGAGCUAAAGUAUUUUCCAAGAUCGAUCUGCGAUCAGGAUACCACCAGUUGAAGAUCCGAGAACAGGAUAUACCCAAGACAUCCUUCACCACGAGGUACGGGCUAUAUGAGUAUACGGUUAUGUCAUUUGGAUUGACUAAUGCCCCUGCCUAUUUCAUGGGUAUGAUGAACAAGGUGUUCAUGGAGUUCUUGGAUAAGUUUGUCGUGGUGUUCAUUGAUGAUAUUUUGGUGUACUCGAAGAAUGAAGAGGAGCACAAGGAGCAUUUGCAUCUAGUUCUCGAGAAGCUCAGGGAACAUCAGUUGUAUGCCAAGUUCAGCAAAUGUGAGUUUUGGUUGAAGGAAGUUGGAUUUCUUGGACAUGUUAUAUCAGGAGAAGGUAUAGCAGUAGAUCCCACCAAGGUGCAGUCUGUCACUGAUUAGCUAGCACCCACCUCAGUUGGAGAGAUCCGCAGUUUUCUGGGACUUGCGGGAUUUUAACGGAGAUUCAUUGAAAUUUUUUCUAAGAUUGCGAAGCCUAUGACGGAGUUGCUGAAGAAAGACACUAAGUUCAAAUGGACAGACUAAUGUGAGGCAAGUUUUCAGGAGCUGAAGAAACGUUUGGUUACAGCCCCAGUGCUGAUUCUGCCGGAUAUACGCAAGGAUUUCCAAGUGUAUUGCGACACUUCACUCUUAGGACUUGGAGGAGUACUUAUGCAAGAUGGUAGAGUGGUUUCAUAUGCCUCACGUUAGCUUCGACCGCAUGAGUUGAAUUAUGCCACGCAUGAUUUGAAGUUAGCAGCUGUAGUUCAUGCGCUCAAGACCUGGAGACAUUUUCUUAUUGGAAACCGUUGUGAUAUGUACACGGAUCAUAAGAGUUUGAAGUACAUUUUCACCCAGAAGGAGGUAAAUCUCAGGCAGAGGAGAUGGUUGGAGCUUAUAAAGGAUUAUGAUAUGAAGUUGCACUAUCAUCCAGGCAAGGCCAAUGUCGUAGUAGACUCUUUGAGCCGGAAGAGUUACGCCAAUACCCUCGUAAGUGGAGGAUUGCCAAAGGAGUUAGCCGAAGAUCUCAGGGAACUACGUUUGGAGAUAGUCCCUAGAGGUUUCGUCACAACAAUGGAGGUUCAGUCAACAUUAUUGGGGAAGAUUCGAGAAGCUCAGAAGGAAGAUAAGGAGAUUGCCGAGAUAAAGGAGAGAAUGAGCAAAGGAAAAGCCAAAGGUUUUCAUGAGGAUGAGCACGGCACCUUAUGGUUUGAGGACCGUGUUUAUGUACCCAAUAAUGCAGAGAUCAGGAAGUUGAUACUUCAGGAAGCUCAUGACUCGCCAUACUCGAUACACCCCGAAAACACCAAGAUGUAUUUGGAUUUGAAGGAGCGUUUCUGGUGGACUGGUAUGAAGAAGGGUAUUGCAGAGUAUGUAGCCGUGUGUGAUGUAUGUCAGAGAGUGAAGGCAGAACAUCAAAAGCCAGCAGGACUACUGCAGCCUAUGCCGAUACCCGAAUGGAAGUGGGACAAGCUUGGCAUGGAUUUUAUCACCGGAUUACCCAGGACCCGAUCGGCAUAUGACUCUACCUGGGUAGUAGUUGAUCGCUUGACCAAAGUAGCUCACUUUAUCCCAGUGAAAACCACGUAUACAAGUGCAAAGUUGGCUAAGAUAUAUAUGACCAGGAUCGUAUAUCUGCAUGGAGUUCCGAGGACCAUUGUAUCAGAUAGAGGGACCCAGCUUACUUCGAAGUUUUGGCACCAGCUGCACCAGACUUUGGGAACCAGACUAGAGUUUAGUACAACCUUUCAUCCGCAUGGACAGACCGAGAGAGUCAAUCAGAUCCUGGAGGACAUGUUGAGAGCUUGUGCGCUAGAUUAUGGAUCUAGUUGGGAUGAUAAUUUUCCCUACGCGGAGUUCUCAUACAACAACAGUUAUCAAGCCAGUUUGAAGAUGGCACCUUUCGAAGCUUUAUAUGGAAGGAGAUGCAGUACACCGUUGAUGUGGGAUGAAGUUGGAUACCGUCAGUUGUUUGGACCAGAUUUGAUCAAAGAGUCCGAAGAGAAGGUUAAAUUGAUUCGAGAUAGACUGAGGGUAGCUCAAUCCAGGAAGAAGAGUUAUGCAGACUCAAAACGCAAGGAGGUAGUGUAUGAAAUCGGAGACAGAGCAUAUCUUCGUGUGUCCCCUCUGCGAGGAGUUAAACGUUUUGGAGUUAAGGGAAAGUUAGCCCCGAGGUUUGUAGGACCCUACCGAGUUUUGGAGCGUAUGGGAGAAGUAGCCUACAAGUUGGAGUUACCCGAAGGACUGUCAGGAGUUCAUGAUGUGUUUCACGUUUCUCAGUUGAAGAAGUGUCAUGCUGAGAUGGCCGACAUCCCUCUGAGAGAUACAAUGCCCCUGGAAGCAAUUCAAUUGGAUAGCGGUUUGACUUAUGAGGAUAAACCUGUCAAGAUUCUCGAGUUUGCCAGUCGCGUUACACGCAGCAAUGUUAUCAGGUUUUGCAAAUUUCAGUGGAGCCACCAUACUGAGGAUGAAGCCACCUGGGAACGAGAGGAAGACCUACGGAAAGGCCACCCACACCUAUUUUCUAGCCAACCCGAAUCUCGAGGACGAGAUUCAUCUUAAGGGGGGUAGGUUUGUAACAUCCCAAAUUUUCAAUUUGGAAUGUUAUACAUAGGUCAUCAUAUGCAUAUCAUAUUUUAUUUGCAUUUUGGUUUUGAUCCUAGAAAUUUCUAAGCAACUCAAGGACCCGCAGAGAGAGUUGGGGAUUUCAUUUAUUUUUAUAUUUGAAUUUUUCUCAAAUAUUGAAAAGAGGAUCAUUUUGGUUUUAAUUAUUUUUCUCUCCUAAAAUAUUUCCAAUAUAAAAAUAAAUGAGAGGAGAUAAUAUGACUUCUCCAAAAUAAAAGAAAUAUUGGAGGAAAAAUAUUAAAAUCAAAUAAUUAUUUUAUUUGGGUUUUUAUUUGCUAUUUUAUUCGAAUUAGAAAAAAAUUACGCAUUUUCCAAAAUUGCAUUUUUAGGCCAAGAAAAUGUUCACUAUGUUCUAAAUAUUUUAUUUAGACGAUGAAAAUUGUUCUUGGCAUUUUUAGAAUUUAUUAUAUUUAUUUAGGAUUUUUUUUUCUUUGUGUGGAAUUUAUUUUUUUUAAAGGAAAAAAGAAAACUUUCCCGGACCGCACUGGGCCGCAGCCCAGCCGGCCCGUUCGGGCGCCGCCGCUGCGCACCGUGUUGAUAACCCACAAGUAUAGGGGAUCGCAACAGUUUUCGAGGGUAGAGUAUUCAACCCAAAUUUAUUGAUUUGACACAAGGGGAGCCAAAGAAUAUUCUCAAGUAUUAGCAGUUGAGUUGUCAAUUCAACCACACCUGGAUAACUUAGUAUCUGCAGCAAAGUAUUUAGUAGCAAAGUAAUAUGGAAGUAACGGUAACGAUAGCAAAAGUAAUAUUUUUGGGUUUUGUAGUGAUUGUAACAGUAGCAACGGAAAGGUAAAUAAACGAAGAACAAUAUGUGAAAAGCUCGUAGGCAUUGGAUCGGUGAUGGAGAAUUAUGCCGGAUGCGGUUCAUCAUGUAACAAUCAUAACAUAGGGUGACACAGAACUAGCUCCAAUUCAUCAAUGUAAUGUAGGCAUGUAUUCCGAAUAUAGUCAUACGUGCUUAUGGAAAAGAACUUGCAUGACAUCUUUUGUCCUACCCUCCCGUGGCAGCGGGGUCCUAAUGGAAACUAAGGGAUAUUAAUGCCUCCUUUUAAUAGAGUACCGGACCAAAGCAUUAACACAUAGUGAAUACAUGAACUCCUCAAACUACGGUCAUCACCGGGAGUGGUCUCGAUUAUUGCCACUUCGGGGUUGCCGGAUCAUAACACAUAGUAGGUGACUAUAGACUUGCAAGAUAGGAUCAAGAACUCACAUCUAUUCAUGAAAACAUAAUAGGUUCAGAUCUGAAAUCAUGGCACUCGGGCCCUAGUGACAAGCAUUAAGCAUAGCAAAGUCAUAGCAACAUCAAUCUCAGAACAUAGUGGAUACUAGGGAUCAAACCAUAACAAAACUAACUCGAUUACAUGAUAGAUCUCAUCCAACCCAUCACCUUCCAGCAAGCCUAUGAUGGAAUUACUCACACACGGCGGUGAGCAUCAUGAAAUUGGUGAUGGAGGAUGGUUGAUGAUGACGACGGCGACGGAUUCCCCUCUCCGGAGCCCCGAACGGAGUCUAGAUCAGCCCUCCCGAGAGGUUUUAGGGCUUGGCGGCGGCUCCGUAUUGUGAAACGCGAUGAAUCCUUCUCUCUGAUUUUUUUCUCCCCGAAAGUGAAUAUAUGGAGUUGGAGUUGAGGUCGGUGGAGCGUCAGGGGGCCCAUGAGGCAGGGGGGCACGCCCAGGGGGGGGGCAGGCGCGCCCCCACCCUCGUGAACAGGGUGUGGGCCCCCUGACGUGGAUUUUUCUUCCAGUAUUUUUAAUAUUUUCCAAAUAGAUGUUCCGUGGAGUUUCAGGUCAUUCCGAGAACUUUUGUUUCUGCACAUAAAUAACACCAUGGAAAGUCUGCUGAAAACAACGUCAGUCCGGGUUAGUUCCUUUCAAAUCAUGCAAGUUAGAGUCCAAAACAAGGGCAAAAGUGUUUGGAAAAGUAGAUACGACGGAGACGUAUCAACUCCCCAAGCUUAAACCUUCGCUUGUCCUCAAGCAAUUCAGUUGAUAAACUGAAAGUGAAAAAGAAAAACUUUUAUAAACUCUGUUUGCUCUUGUUGUUGUAAAUAUGUAAAGCCACCAUUCAAGUUUUCAGCAAAGAUUAUGACUAACCACAUUCACAAUAACUCUUAGGUCUCAUGUUUACUCAUAUCAAUAGCAUAAUCAACUAGCGAACAAUAAUAAUAAAUCUCGGAUGACAACACUUUCUCAAAACAAUCAUGAUAUGAUAUAACAAGAUGGUAUCUCGCUAGCCCUUUCUGAGACCGCAAAACAUAAAUGCAGAGCACCUUUAAAGAUCAAGGACUGACUAGACAUUGUAAUUCAUGGUAAAAGAGAUCCAGUCAUAGUCAUACCCAAUAUAAAUUAAUAGUAAUGGAUGCAAAUGACAGCGGUGCUCUCCAGCUGGUGCUUUUUAAUAAGAGGGUGAUGACUCAACAUGAAAGUAAAUAGAUAGGCCCUUCGCAGAGGGAAGCAGGGAUUUGUAGAGGUGCCAGAGCUCGGUUUUGAAAUAGAGAUAAAUAAUAUUUUGAGCGGUAUACUUUCAUUGUCAACAUAACAACCGAGAGAUGGCGAUAUCUUCCAUGCUACACACAUUAUAGGCGGUUCCCAAACAUAAUGGUAAAGUUUAUACUCACCCUCCACCAACAAGCAUCAAUCCAUGGCUUGCUCAAAACAACGAGUGCCUCCAACUAGCAACAGCCCCGGGGGAGUUUUGUUUGCAAUUAUUUUGAUUUAGUUUGCAUAAAGCAUGGGACUGGGCAUCCCGGUGACCAGCCAUUUUCUCGUGAGUGAGGAGCGGAGUCCACUCCUCUUGAGAAUAACCCGCCAAGCAUGGAAGAUACGGACAGCCCUAGUUGAUACAUGAGCUAUUCGAGCAUACAAAACAGAAUUUCAUUUGAAGGUUUAGAGUUUGGCACAUACAAAUUUACUUGGAACGGCAGGUAGAUACCGCAUAUAGGUGUUGGAAAUAUGCCCUAGAGGCAAUAAUAAAUGGUUAUUAUUAUAUUUCUUUGUUCAUGAUAAUUGUUUAUUGUUCAUGCUAUAAUUGUGUUAUGCGGAAAUCGUAAUACAUGUGUGAAUACAUAGACCACAACGUGUCCCUAGUAAGCCUCUAGUUGACUAGCUCGUUGAUCAACAGAUAGUCAUGGUUUCCUGACUAUGGACAUUGGAUGUCAUUGAUAACGGGAUCACAUCAUUAGGAGAAUGAUGUGAUGGACAAGACCCAAUCCUAAGCAUAGCUCAAAGAUCGUGUAGUUCGUUUGCUAGAGCUUUUCCAAUGUCAAGUAUCUUUUCCUUAGACCAUGAGAUCGUGCAACUCCCGGAUACCGUAGGAGUGCUUUGGGUGUGCCAAACAUCACAACGUAACUGGGUGACUAUAAAGGUACACUACGGGUAUCUCCGAAAGUGUCUGUUGAGUUGGCACGGAUCGAGACUGGGAUUUGUCACUCCGUAUGACGGAGAGGUAUCUUUGGGCCCACUCGGUAAUGCAUCAUCAUAAUGAGCUCAAUGUGACUAAGGAGUUAGCCACGAGAUCAUGCAUUACGGUACGAGUAAAGAGACUUGCCGGUAACGAGAUUGAACAAGGUAUUGGGAUACCGACGAUCGAAUCUCGGGCAAGUAACAUACCGAUUGACAAAGGGAAUUGUAUACGGGAUUGAUUGAAUCCUCGACAUCGUGGUUCAUCCGAUGAGAUCAUCGUGGAACAUGUGGGAGCCAACAUGGGUAUCCAGAUCCCGCUGUUGGUUAUUGACCGGAGAGGCGUCUCGGUCAUGUCUGCAUGUCUCCCGAACCCGUAGGGUCUACACACUUAUGGUUCGGUGACGCUAGGGUUGUAGAGAUAUUAGUAUGCGGAAAGCCGAAAGUUGUUCGGAGUCCCGGAUGAGAUCCGGACGUCACGAGGAGUUCCGGAAUGGUCCGGAGGUGAAGAAUUAUAUAUGGGAAGUCCAGUUUCGGCCACCGGGAAAGUUUCGGGGGUUAUCGGUAUUGUACCGGGACCACGGGAAGGGUCCCGGGGGUCCACCGGGUGGGGCCACCUAUCCCGGAGGGCCCCAUGGGCUGAAGUGGGAAGGGAACCAGCCCUUAGUGGGCUGGGGUGCCCCCCUUGGGCCUCCCCCUGCGCCUAGGGUUGGAAACCCUGGGGGUGGGGGGCGCCCCACUUGGCUUGGGGGGAAGCCACCCCCCUUCCCCCUUGGCCGCCGCCCCCUUGGAGAUUUCAUCUCCCAGGGCCGGCGCCCCCCCAGGGGUCCCUAUAUAUAGUGGGGGGGGGGGAGGGAGGGCAGCAGCACCACAGCCCCUGGCGCCUCCCUCCCCCCUGCAACACCUCUCCCUCUCGCAGAAGCUUGGCGAAGCCCUGGCGAGAUCCCCGCUACUUCCACCACCACGCCGUCGUGCUGCUGGAUCUCCAUCAACCUCUCCUUCCCCCUUACUGGAUCAAGAAGGAGGAGACGUCGAUGCUCCGUACGUGUGUUGAACGCGGAGGUGCCGUCCGUUCGGCACUCGGUCAUCGGUGAUUUGGAUCACGGCGAGUACGACUCCAUCAACCCCGUUCAUUGGAAUGCUUCCGCUCGCGAUCUACAAGGGUAUGUAGAUGCACUCCUUUCCCCUCGUUGCUAGUAUACUCCAUAGAUGGAUCUUGGUGAUGCGUAGGAAAUUUUAAAAUUCUGCUACGAUCCCCAAAAAUAGGAAGGUAUGGUGGACUCAUAUGGAACAACUUUGGGGUUUAAGGGAUUGGAUGCACAAGCAGUAUUCCCGCCUAGUACAAGUGAAGGCUAGCAAAAGACUGGGAAGCGACCAACUAGAGAGCGACAACAUUCAUGAACAUGCAUUAAAAUUAAUAAACAUUGAGUGCAAGCAUGAGUAGGAUAUAAUCCACCAUGAACAUAAAUAUCAUGAAAGCUAUGUUGAUUUGUUUCAACUACUUGUGUGAACAUGUGCCAAGUCGAGUCACUUAAAUCAUUCAAAGGAGGAUACCACCCCACUAUACCACAUCACAACCAUUUUAAUAACAUGUUGGCAUGCAAGGUAAACCAUUAUAACUCAUAGCUAAUCAAGCAUGGAAUAAGCAACUAUGAUCUCUAAUUGUCAUUACAAACAUGUUUAUUCAUAAUAGGCUGAAUCAGGAACGAUGAACUAAUCAUAUUUACAAAAACAAGAGAGGUCGAGUUCAUACCAGCUUCUCUCAUCUCAAUCAGUCCAUCAUAUAUCGUCAUAAUUGCCUUUCACUUGCAUGACCGAACGAUGUGAAAAUAAUAAGAGUGCACGUGCAUUGGACUAAGCUGGAAUCUGCGAGCAUUCAAUAAACAGGAGAACACAAGGCAAUAUGGGCUCUUGGUUAAAUCAACAAUAAUGCAUAUCAGAGCCACUUCAACAAUUUAAUCAUGGUCUUCUCCUAUCGACCCCCAAAGAAAAGAAAAGAAAAUAAAACUAUUUACACGGGAAAGCUCCCACAAGCAAAAGAAGAACGGGAAAUCUUUUUGGGUUUUCUUUUUAAUUACUACUACUACAGCAAGAAAAGUAAACUAACUAAAAGCUACACUAAUUUUGUUUGUUUGUUUUUCUUAAGGUUUAUCAAACACGCAAGAAGAAAGCAAGAAAAACAAAA
rnacentral:lncRNA from 1 species